rnacentral:tRNA from 1 species
GGCUUUAUAUUCAAUUAUUAUUUUAGACUGCAAUUAUAGAGGUGUAAAUAACUUUACUAAGGCCU